rnacentral:rRNA from 1 species
UACGGAGGGGGCUAGCGUUGUUCGGAAUUACUGGGCGUAAAGCGCGCGUAGGCGGCUUUGUAAGUUAGAGGUGAAAGCCCGGGGCUCAACCCCGGAAUUGCCUUUGAGACUGCAUCGCUAGAAUUGUGGAGAGGUAAGUGGAAUUCCGAGUGUAGAGGUGAAAUUCGUAGAUAUUCGGAAGAACACCAGUGGCGAAGGCGACUUACUGGACACAUAUUGACGCUGAGGUGCGAAAGCGUGGGGAGCAAACAGG